GCCAUUUCUUGGGCUGCUCCCAUGGCAUAUGGAGAUUCCCAGGCUAGGGGUCUAAUCGGAGCCGUAGCCACCAGCCUACACCAGAGCCACAGCAACGCAUGAUCCGAGCCGCGUCUGCAACCUGCACCACAGCUCACGGCAAGGCCAGAUCAUUAACCCACUGAGCAAGGGCAGGGACCGAACUGGCAACCUCAUGGUUCCUAGUCGGAUUCGUUAACCACUGCACCACAACAGGAACUCCAGGAACUGAAUUUUAAUUAAGUUUAAAUUUGAAUAUCCAUGUGGCUAGUGGCCACCAUAUUGGACAGAACAGAUACAAAACAUUUCCAUCACUUCCGCAGGAGGUUCUGUAGACAGCAUUGCUAUAGAAGACAUCUAGCCAAUUCCAGAAGCCUCAUCUCAUAGCUAUAGGCCAUCUUAAAUUUAUUGUUGGGCUGCCCUUCAAAACGAAAAUCCAUAUAAACGUUUUUUCUUUUCUUUUUUCUUUUUGUCUUUUCCAGGGCUGCUCCCUCAGCAUAUGGAGGUUCCCAGGCUAGGGGUCUAAUCGGAGCUGUAGCCGCCAGCCUAUGCCACAGCCACAGCAACACCGCUUCCAAGCCGCAUCUUCGACCUACACCACAGCUCACGGCAAUGCUGGAUCCCCAACCCACUAGGCAAGGCCAGGGAUCAAACGUGCAACCUCAUGGUUCCUAGUCGGAUUCGUUAACCACUGAGCCACAACGGGAACUCCUCUUUUGCUUUUUUCUUUUUUAGAAAUUCAGAGCACAUCUUUCCAUAGAUGAGCCAAGGAAAAGCCUUAGCGGGAGUUCCUGUUGUGGCUUAGUGGGUUAAGAACUUGACAUAGUAUCUUUGAAGAUGUGGGUUUGAUCCAUGGCCUCACUCAGGGGCUAAGGAUCCUGCAAGGCCACAAGCUGUGGUGUAGGUCACAGAUGCGGUUCACAUCUGGUGUUGCCAUGGCUGUGGUAUAGGCUGGCAGCUGCAGCUCUGAUUCAACCCCUAGCCUGGGAAUUCCAUAUGCUGCAGGUGCAGCUGUAAAAAGAAAAGAAAAAAGAAAAGCGCUAGCAAUCCAUCAUCAUUGAGCCAAGAUGUAACAUAAAUGAUGGGCCAGAUACUGAACUCUAAAAGUAGCUCAUAAUCUAUGAUAUAACUAAUAAACAUCGUGACGACAGGAAGCACUGGAAGCAGGGGAUCAGAAACCAGUCCUGGUGAGGUCAGCGAAGGAAUUCUGGAGAAUGAAAAAGCUAAGAGGUGGCCAGACCAAGAAGGGUGAGAUAGAACACAGGCAGAGAAAGAAAGAUGUUACCGGCAGAGGGAGAAGUAUGCCCAGAGGAAAGGUUAAGAGCUUUUGAGUAAAGUGAUGCCAUGUGAUGGAAUUUGUGGGAGCCUAUGGGAGAAGGCAGAAAAGAAGGCAGUGGCCAAGCCAAGUCCUACUGGGCCUAAUAUGUCAUCAUAACAGCUUGUUCGUGUGUAGUGUCAGGAUUGGUUGGAACACAAAUAAUAAAGGCCCAGUAAUAAUGCCUAAGAUUCCAAUCACCAAUUAAGAUGAUCAGAAUGGGUUUCCCACACAUGUCCAAGCAAUUCUCAGACAUACCAGCGGGCUGCCCUACAAUUCCACUCUAUUCUGACACUAUCUACCUGGAGGUAGCAUCAGAUCCCACUGCCUAAGGGCUCAGUCCCACAAGACGGCCCACUACUUCCAAUGCCAAUCACGAGUCUAGUUUGUUACCUGUGCUUUUGACCAACUGGCUUAAAUCAGAGGUUCCCAAGACCUUAGGCUUGGAAGUGAUUAAUUAGUUACAAUCAAAUGUUAGGAAAAUUAAAAAAAAAACUCAGAAAAAUGGGCAAAAUUUAACAGAAACUUCAUAAAAUUAUUAUUAUUAUUACUAUUAUUAUUUUGGUCUUUUGUCUUUUUAGGGCCUCAUCUGUGGCAUAUGGAGGUUCACAGGCGAGGGGUCUAAUCAGAGCUGUAGCCGCCAGCCUAUGCCACAGACACAGCAAGGCCGGAUCCGAGCCGCUUCUGUGACCUAAACCACAGCUCACGGCAACAUCAGAUCCUUAACCCACUGAGCAAGGCCAGGGAUCGAACCUGCAACCUCAUGGUUCCUAGUCGGAUUCCUUAACCACUGAGCCACGACAGGAACUCCCACAUUUUUUUUAUAAAGUUAUUUCUAAAUAACCUAUAGAUAUAUGAAAAGGUAUUCAACUUCAUUAAUCAGGGAGGUGCAAAUUAAAAUCACAGGAGAUACAAUUAUCACCUAUCAAAAUGGCCAAAAAAAGAUGGGAAAUAACCAAUGUUGAGAAUGUGGAAUGACCAACUCUCAUAUGUUGCUGAUCAGGGUGUAAAUUGGCACAAACACUUUGGAAAAUUGCUUUAAAAUAUCUACUACAUUUGAACAUGGCACAAUUACAAUCCAACAAUUCCACUUCUGUGUAUAUACCCAAUAUGAUGUGUGUACUUCUCUGUAGGUAUGAAUAUUUCAACAAACAGCACACUCUGCCAGAAAGUGGCAAUAAGGAGCCACGGAAGGAUUUGACAUUUCAGAGACUUGAGAAGGAUUUGAGAGACAUGAUCAGAUUUACAUUAGGGAGAUUAAUCCUUGGCUUUUAGAGGAUGGCAAGGAGAGGAGUUAAGGGGCUUUUUGUAGAAGUAAUCCAGCAAUUACAAAGUCCCAAAUUAAAGUAAGGGAGAGAAGUUCCUGUUGUGGUGCAGCGGAAACGAAUCCGACUAGGAACCAUGAGGUUGCAGAUUCCAUCCCUGACCUCCUUCAGUGGUUUAAGGAUGCAGUGUUGCCUGAGCUGUGGUGUAGGUCACAGACACGGCUUGGAUACCACAUUGCUGUGGCUGUUGUGUAGGCAGGCAGCUACAGCUCCAAUUGGACCCCUAGCCUGGGAACCUCAUAUACUAUGAGUGCGGCCCUAAAAAGCAAAAAAAAAAAAAAAAAAAAAGUAAGACGGAUGAAAGGGACAGACUAGAGUUCAUAUUUGGGGAGCAAACUCAGAACGUGGGUAGGUCACAAAAUUCCCCUGUGCUGCUGCUGCUUUUUUUUUUUUUUUUAAACUUUUUAGGGCCACACCCACAGCUUAGGGAGGUUCCCAGGCUAGGGGUGGAAUGUGAGCUGCAGCUCCUGGCCUACACCACAGCCACAGCAGUGCCAGAUCUGAGCUAAGUCUGUGACUUACGCCACAGCUUUCAGCAAUGCUAGAUCCCCCACCACUGAGGGAGGCCAGGGAUGGAACCCACAUCCUCAUAGAUACUAACUGGAUUCCUUUCCGCUGCUCCACGACGGGAACUCCGUAAAUUCCCCUGAGCUUCUGAUUUCUUCACAUGAAAAAAAUAUUAACAGUACCUAUUUCAUUGAUGAUUAUUUUGAUGAUUUAAGAGUUAAGCACAGGGGGCUUAGCGAUUUUUUUUUUUUUUAAAGCGCCAUUUUCAGAGUUCCCAUUCUGGCUCAAAGGGUUAAAAACCAGACUAGUAUCUGUGAGAAAGCUGGUUCAAUCCCUGGCCUAGCUCAGUGGGUUAAGGAUCCUGUGUUUCCCCAAGCUGCAACGUGGGUCGCAAGUGUGGCUUGUUUCUGGUGUGGCUGUGACCGUGUCUGGCUGGCAGCUGCCGCUGGGAUUUGACCACUAGCUUGGGAACCAACAUAUGCCAUAGGAGCGGCCCUAAAAAUAAAAUAAAAUAAAAAUUUAAAAAGUAAAAAAAAAAAAAAUAAAAAAAUAAAAGAAAUUUCCAUUCAAUUCUCCUUGCAUACUAUUAGAAAUUGAGAUUAGAAAGCUUUUAGAGAAGUACCUUAAUUUGUCAAGGUCCACGGAAGCAUGCAUCCUCCCAAGCAGAGGCAAAAUCAGCUCCCUGCGUAGGACUGGGUAAGUUUGGGGUCACAGGUUAGAAGGCCCUGGUUAAGGAUGAGACAGAAGAUGUCAGAAUCAGGCCCUGAAACAGUCCUAAAAGGCCACGGAUGAAGUGUUGGGAUUCUACUCAGGCUGCUGGACCACCUGCGCUAGAAACUGGAGGCAAGCAUAGGCAUUUUCUCUCUGGCUCCCCACCUUCCCAGCUC
rnacentral:lncRNA from 1 species